rnacentral:rRNA from 1 species
GUGUCAGCAGCCGCGGUAAUACGGAGGGGGCUAGCGUUGUUCGGAAUUACUGGGCGUAAAGCGCGCGUAGGCGGAUGUUCAAGUCGGGGGUGAAAUCCCGGGGCUCAACCCCGGAACUGCCUCCGAUACUGGACGUCUGGAGGACGGGAGAGGCGAGUGGAAUGCCGAGUGUAGAGGUGAAAUUCGUAGAUAUUCGGCGGAACACCCGUGGCGAAGGCGGCUCGCUGGUCCGUUUCUGACGCUGAGGCGCGAAAGCGUGGGGAGCAAACAGGAUUAGAUACCCGCGUAGUCC